AGCCCUAAAAGCUAAACCGGACAGCAAUUAA
rnacentral:tRNA from 1 species